UAACUGUAAACGAUGCGGACUUGGUGUUGGGGUGGCUUUGAGCUGCUUCAGUGCCGAAGGGAAGCUGUUAAGUCCGCCGCCUGGGAAGUACGGUCGCAAGACUGUAACUUAAAGGAAUUGGCGGGGGAGCACCACAACACGUGGAGCCUGCGGUUUAAUUGGAUUCAACGCCGGACAUCUCACCAGAGGCGACAGCUGUAUGAUAGCCAGGUUGAUGACUUUGCUUGACUAGCUGAGAGGAGGUGCAUGGCGUCAGUGACU
rnacentral:rRNA from 1 species